rnacentral:rRNA from 1 species
UUCCUACGGGGGGCUGCAGUGGGGAAUCUUGCGCAAUGGGCGAAAGCCUGACGCAGCAACGCCGCGUGCGGGAUGACGGCCUUCGUGGUUGUAAACCGCUUUCAGCAGGGACGAAAAUGACGGUACCUGCAGAAGAAGCUCCGGCUAACUACGUGCCAGCAGCCGCGGUAAUACGUAGGGGGCGAGCGUUGUCCGGAUUCAUUGGGCGUAAAGAGCUCGUAGGCGGUUCAGUAAGUCGGGUGUGAAAGCCCCGAGCUCAACUCGGAGAGGCCACCCGAUACUGCUGUGACUCGAGUCCAGUAGAGGAGCGUGGAACUCCUGGUGUAGCGGUGAAAUGCGCAGAUAUCAGGAAGAACACCGGUAGCGAAGGCGGCGCUCUGGGCUGGUACUGACGCUGAGGAGCGAAAGCGUGGGUAGCAAACAGGAUUAGAUACCCUUGUAGUCCAU